rnacentral:rRNA from 1 species
GAACCUGCGGAAGGAUCAUUGUCAAAACCCCCAAAGGUACGAAUUGCGCACGUGUAAAUAAACAAACGGGGAACGGGGGAAACGUGCAACCUCACGGUCGCCUUCUCCUCUCCCCUAUUUGUCGGCCACGUCCCCACGCGAGUGGCCCGUUUCGACGGUCGUUUGUGGCUCGACGGGGUCGUGUCUAGCAGAGACAACCGAAAGCCGGGGGCAGGAUGCGCUAAGGAAAAUUGAAAUAAAGCAAUCGCCAUGCCUUCCCCUCGCGCUCGCUCUGUUGGCGCGGGGAAGGCAAUGUCGUCAUCGACAAAGAUGACUCUUGGCAACGGAUAUUUCGGCUCUCGCAUCGAUGAAGAACGUAGCGAAAUACGAUACUUAGUGUGAAUUGCAGAAUCCCGUGAACCUCGAGUCACUGAACACGAGUUGUCCCCGAGGCCAUUAAGGUCGAGGGCACGUCUGUCGCGGCGUCGCACGUCAUGUCACAUGCCAGCCAUCCUCCUUCAAGGGGCAGGUGGACUAUGGUCUCCCGUGCCUCGAGACAGAGGCGUGGUUGGCCCAAAUCGGAAGCCGAGGCGAUGGAUCCCGCGACAAUGGGUGGUAUCGGCAAAGCUGUUACGGCAGCUUGUCGCGACCCCUCUCCCCGACCUCGCUUGGUCCGACCCCAUUGUUCCGUCCUCGGAGGCACUCUACGACGACUCCUGAUCAGGCGGGAUUAUCCGUUGAGUUUAAGCAUAUCAAUAAGCGG